rnacentral:rRNA from 1 species
AUGUCUGGGAAACUGCCUGAUGGAGGGGGAUAACUACUGGAAACGGUAGCUAAUACCGCAUAACGUCGCAAGACCAAAGAGGGGGACCUUCGGGCCUCUUGCCAUCAGAUGUGCCCAGAUGGGAUUAGCUAGUAGGUGGGGUAACGGCUCACCUAGGCGACGAUCCCUAGCUGGUCUGAGAGGAUGACCAGCCACACUGGAACUGAGACACGGUCCAGACUCCUACGGGAGGCAGCAGUGGGGAAUAUUGCACAAUGGGCGCAAGCCUGAUGCAGCCAUGCCGCGUGUAUGAAGAAGGCCUUCGGGUUGUAAAGUACUUUCAGCGGGGAGGAAGGUGUUGUGGUUAAUAACCACAGCAAUUGACGUUACCCGCAGAAGAAGCACCGGCUAACUCCGUGCCAGCAGCCGCGGUAAUACGGAGGGUGCAAGCGUUAAUCGGAAUUACUGGGCGUAAAGCGCACGCAGGCGGUCUGUCAAGUCGGAUGUGAAAUCCCCGGGCUCAACCUGGGAACUGCAUUCGAAACUGGCAGGCUAGAGUCUUGUACAGGGGGGUAGAAUUCCAGGUGUAGCGGUGAAAUGCGUAGAGAUCUGGAGGAAUACCGGUGGCGAAGGCGGCCACCUGGACAAAGACUGACGCUCAGGUGCGAAAGCGUGGGGAGCAAACAGGAUUAG